UUGGUAUCAGAGCGUCAGGUUCGUUGGAACAUCUAAGGGAGUAUGGAAGGCAGCAGCGAAAUCACCCAAACUGGAAGGGACAAAUCUAAGGGCCAAAGGUCUCGCUCCAGGGACGCCAUUGAGGGGUUGGAGACAAGGCUGCCCAAAGUGGAGUUGGCCAUUGCCGAUGGGCAGGACAAGUUCAUGGAGGUCGACCAAAGGUUCG
rnacentral:lncRNA from 1 species